AGCGGCGGACGGGUGAGUAACGCGUGGGUAACCUGCCUCAUACAGGGGGAUAACAGUUGGAAACGACUGCUAAUACCGCAUAAGCGCACAGUACCGCAUGGUACGUGUGAAAAACUCCGGUGGUAUGAGAUGGACCCGCGUCUGAUUAGCUAGUUGGUGGGGUAACGGCCUACCAAGGCGACGAUCAGUAGCCGACCUGAGAGGGUGACCGGCCACAUUGGGACUGAGACACGGCCCAA
rnacentral:rRNA from 1 species